AUUGAACGCUGGCGGCAGGCCUAACGCACGCAAGUCGAGCGGAUGAAGGGAGCUUGCUCCUGGAUUCAGCGGCGGACGGGUGAGUAAUGCCUAGGAAUCUGCCUGGUAGUGGGGGAUAACGUCCGGAAACGGGCGCUAAUACCGCAUACGUCCUGAGGGAGAAAGUGGGGGAUCUUCGGACCUCACGCUAUCAGAUGAGCCUAGGUCGGAUUAGCUAGUUGGUGGGGUAAAGGCCUACCAAGGCGACGAUCCGUAACUGGUCUGAGAGGAUGAUCAGUCACACUGGAACUGAGACACGGUCCAGACUCCUACGGGAGGCAGCAGUGGGGAAUAUUGGACAAUGGGCGAAAGCCUGAUCCAGCCACGCCGCGUGUGUGAAGAAGGUCUUCGGAUUGUAAAGCACUUUAAGUUGGGAGGAAGGGCAGUAAGUUAAUACCUUGCUGUUUUGACGUUACCAACAGAAUAAGCACCGGCUAACUUCGUG
rnacentral:rRNA from 1 species